CGCUCUCAGCAAGAUUUAUCUCGCUCUCGCAUCGAUGAAGAACGUACAAAUGCGAUACUUGGUGUGAAUUGCAGAAUCCCGUGAACCAUCGAGCUCUUGAACGCAGUUGCUGCCCGAAGCGUUAGCGAGGGCACAGGCUGCGCUGCGUCA
rnacentral:rRNA from 1 species